GUACCUUCAAGCUUUGCUUGGUGUUGGGUGUUUGUCCCGCCUUUGUGUGCGGACUCGCCUUAAAGCAAUUGGCAGCCGGCGUAUAGGUUUCGGAGCGCAGCACAAAACGCGCUUUGUGUCCAUUACGGCGGCGUCCAUUAAGCCUCUUUUAAC
rnacentral:misc_RNA from 1 species